CUGGGACUGCGCGGGUGCUGCGGUGAGCUUCGGGGUCUGGUAUGGCUGGUGCUUGUGCAGCCACUGCCUCCGGCCUCGGUGAUUGCGAAACUGAGGGGCAGUUGGGUGCAGUGAGACUUGACGUGCCUUUUAAGAGAAGAAAGAUGCGUGAAGACUGUCCUGCACUUGGUGCAUUCAUAUGGUUUUUCUCCAGCAGAAACUUUCUUGUGCAGGAACUGAUGAGAAAGAAAUGAGUUCAUUAAAAACCAAGGGAAGGAAUGAUGCCAUCCUCACCUACUGAGGCCAGGUUCCGGAAGGUCUCCAGCAUCACAUCUCUGUAGAGGUCCCUCUGAGCAGAAUCCAGCAAAGCCCACUCCUCCAGGGUGAAGUCCACAGCCACAUCCUCAAAGACCACUGAGUCCUAAGACAAACCACACAGGUGUGCAGGAGGAUUGGAGACACUGAAAGUACUGGGGAACUGGACUCAAUUCAUAAAUUCAAACAAGAUUCUGUGGUGUCCCAACACCUCCUCUAUGACGCGAAUGUUAGAUCUUUUACUUAUUCACAAUCACUUCCUAGUAAACUUCAUGGCACCACUAUCAGUCUGAACUUAUCUCUGCCUUUUUACUGCGACUGCUCUUAUUUUCCUCUACCAGGAGGGUCUAGAGAAAUGCUAUGCAAAUGAAGUAACUUUUCCAUUUGAAACGUUGCAUAACGCAGCAGGCCUCGGUUGUCCAAACGAUGCACAUUUCAUAGGACUUUCGGAAAAGCCUUCCACCAGCUACUGCAGAAAAUGG
rnacentral:lncRNA from 1 species